UACGGGGGGGGUAAGCGUUGUUCGGAAUUACUGGGCGUAAAGGGCUCGUAGGCGGCCAACUAAGUCAGACGUGAAAUCCCUCGGCUCAACCGAGGAACUGCGUCUGAUACUGGAAGGCUUGAAUCCGGGAGAGGGAUGUGGAAUUCCAGGUGUAGCGGUGAAAUGCGUAGAUAUCUGGAGGAACACCGGUGGCGAAGGCGGCAUCCUGGACCGGUAUUGACGCUGAGGCGCGAAAGCUAGGGGAGCAAACGGG
rnacentral:rRNA from 1 species